AUGGAGGGGGGGGGGGGAAUCGAUCCCAAAAUUCCUUCAAGGAUUUAUCCCAAAAAAACCCCUCAGGGAACGGAUUUCUCCUUAUCCAUGUCCUCCCCAAAUUCCCAAAUUCCCCAAAAUCUCGUGAAUUCUCCGGAAAUUUGGGAAUUCCGGGGGAAUUCCUGGGAUUACAUCGGGUUUGGGGUGGAAUUCCCCCGGAAUUCCCAGCCAGGAUCCCAAAAUUCCCAAGGAGAAGGGAAUUACUCCGGGAUACUCCCGAGAUACUCGAGGCUUGAGCUUCGAUCUCUUACUCAGGGGAUGCUCCAGGACCUGGGACCCAGGGAUACUCCGGGGAUACUCCGGGGAUACUCCGGGGAUACUCCAGGGAUAUUCCACGGAUACUCCGGGAAUAUUCCAGGGAUACUUCGGGGAUACUCUAGGGAUACUCCAGGGUUAUUCCAGGGAUAUUUUAGGGAUAUUCCAGGGAUACUCCGGGGAUACUCCAGGGAUACUCCAGGGAUACUCCAGGGAUAUUCCGGGGAUAUUCCGGGGAUAUUCCGGGGAUAUUUUAGGGAUACUCCAGGGAUACUCCGGGGACAUUCCAGGGAUACUCCAGGGAUAUUCCGGGGAUAUUUUAGGGAUACUCCAGGGAUACUCCGGGGAUACUCCAGGGAUAUUUUAGGGAUAUUCCAGGGUUACUCCGGGGAUAUUCCAGGGAUAUUCCAGGGAUAUUUUAGAGAUAUUCCAGGGAUAUUCCAGGGAUACUCCGGGGAUACUCUGGGGUUACUCCGGGGAUAUUCCAGGGAAAUUCCAGGGUUACACCAGGGAUAUUCCAUGGAUACUCUGGGGUUACUCAGGUGUUACUCCAGGGUUAUUCCAGGGUUACUCCAGGGAUAUUCCGGGGAUACUCCAGGGUUACACCGGGGAUACUCCAGGGUUACACUGGGGAUACUCCAGGCCUCAGCUCCAGCUGCACCUCAGUUUCCCCAGAUUUCCCAAAAAUCCCAAAAUAAAAAGCCCCAAAAGGCCCCGGGAUUGGGAAUUCCCAAAACAACCCCGGCAUUCCCAGAAUCCCUGGAAUGCUCAAAAUUCCCAAAGAAAGCCCCAGAAUUCCCAAAAUUCCUGGAAUUCCUGAAAUCCCCAGAACUGUCAAAUUCCUGGAAUUCCCAAAAACAACCCUGGAAUUACCAAAAUUCCCAGAAAUGCCAAAAUUCCAGAAUCGCCAAAACUCCUGGAAUUCCCGAACCCCCUCGGAAUUCCCAAAACAGCCCCGGAAUGAAAAAUUCCUGGAAUUCCCCAAAUUCCCAGAAUUCCACAGAGAGCCCGGCGGGGGAGGAAGAGCAGGAGAAGAGGAAGAGGAGGAAGAGGAGUAGGAAAAGGAGAGGAGGAAGAGGAGGGAAAGGAGGAAGAGCAGAAGAGGAGGAAGAGGAGGGAGGGGAGGAGGAGAAGAGGAGGAGAAAGAAGAGAAGGGGAGGAAGAGCAGGAGAAGAUGAAGAGGAGGAAGAGGAAGAAAAGGAAAAGGAGGAAGAACAGGAGGAGGAAGAGCAGGAGGAAGAGGAGGAAGAGCAGGGAAAGAUGAAGAGGAAGAACAGGAGGAGGAGGAAGAAGAGGGAGACGAGGAAGAGCAGGAGAAGAGGAGGAAGAGGAGGAGGAGGAAGAGCAGGAAAAGAUGAAGAGGAGGAAGAAGAGGAAAAGGAGGAAGAGGAGGAGGAGGAAGAGCGGGUGAGGAGAAAGAGCAGUAAGGGGAGGAAGAGCAGGACAAGAUGA
rnacentral:lncRNA from 1 species